GUGCUCACUUCAGCAGCACAUAUACUAAAAUUGGAAUGAUACAGGAAGAUUAGCAUCUCCCCUGCACAAGAAUGACACACAAAUUCAUGAAGCAUUCCAUAUUUUU